ACGACCUCAGAGCAGGCGAGACUACCCGCUG
rnacentral:rRNA from 1 species